GAUGAAGAACGCAGCGAAAUGCGAUAAGUAGUGUGAAUUGCAGAAUUCAGUGAAUCAUCGAAUCUUUGAACGCACAUUGCGCCCUUUGGUAUUCCAAAGGGCAUGCCUGUUCGAGCGUCAUUUGUACCCUCAAGCUUUGCUUGGUGUUGGGCGUCUUGUCUCUAGCUUUGCUGGAGACUCGCCUUAAAGUAUUUGGCAGCCGGCCUACUGGUUUCGGAGCGCAGCACAAGUCGCACUCUCUAUCAGCAAAGGUCUAGCAUCCAUUAAGCCUUUUUUUCAACUUUUGACCUCGGAUCUGGUAGGGAUACCCGCUGAACUUAAGCAUAUCAAUAAGCGGAGGA
rnacentral:misc_RNA from 1 species